rfam:Trichuris muris Edinburgh genomic scaffold, scaffold174
CAAACGGCCCUUUUCAGGGCCACCAAACUGUAUACAACCCGUCUCAG